GGACAACGCGCGGUUUCAGGCUUGCGUGGCCGAUGCAUUUAGAACGAGUCGGCGUGGACAUGCACGUUUCAGGGAGCCGGGGAUUCCUGCGAGGCUGAGCGGGGAGAAAUGCGUGGAACGCGGGCUUGGGCCCGAGGGUCUCUCUCCGGAAAGCGGCUGGCUGCGCAGGCCGAGGCGCCUCGAAGACACGUAUUUGGAAGAACUUAGCUCACCUUCCUCCUCGCCCCUGCGGCAGCUGUUCCCUGCUUUGUCACCGCUGUAACAACGGAGCGCACCUCCGUGGCGUCCGCGGCGGCGCGUGCGGCGGGGAGCGCGCCCACGACAGUGCGGAGCCCGCGGGAGUCACCUCCGGGCGGGCGGGAGCAGGUCGGACUCCGCUCGCAAGAAUACACUGGCGAAGGAAGAUUUUCUGCAGUCUUUUGACAAUUACUUUUAGCCAACAAGAGAAGCUCUGGAGAGCAUUUGUCCGGGGCCAUGUUGCAGAUCUUUUGGCUAAUCUUACUUCGGCGUGUACCCCCAAACAGCUCGACCAGACCGCUAAUUGGGGGGCACAUGGCACGCGCAAUGGCGUGCCUGUCCCCUACCAAACCCUCUCGCAGGCCACGACACACCUGGCAUUGCUUAGGUAGGGAAGGGAGGAGGGUUUUGUUUUGUUUGGUUUUCCCUUUUCAAAAACUGGAGAGAAUGAAGAAGCAUCAAUUUGACAAAUUGCCUUAAAAGUAAAAACAAAAACAACUUCAGCUGGACAGCAUGUAAAUGGCUGACACCCACCAGGGAGAAGAUAUCUGAAGCACCUGUAAAUAUGGGAAACACUGCUAUACAGAAUCAGGAAGAAUUCUGACAGUCAAUGGGUGAAGACGAGCCAUUCGGUGGGAAAAUGGGCCGGAGAUAGGAACAGACUCUGCACAGAGAAGAUCCGAAAAAGCGCAAAGAUGCCCCAGCUGCCUAGAGAUGGGGAGGUCAGACAGUGGAGCAGAUGAGACUUUCCAUCCACUGGAUGACACCAAACUAGGCCCAGAGGGUGCAGACAGGGAGCACUCCCUCACUGAUGUGCUAGUUGGAAUUACUGCAAAGAAACUAGGGAGAUGUUUGGCAGCAUCUGGGAGAGCAGGAGAUGCCCACUCCGUCUCAACUGCAAUCCCUUGCUUCCCUGUCCACCACAGAGAGACUCUCCAGGAGGCCCUGCGGCAUUGUUUGCAAAGCGCAAGACUAGAAACCCCAAAUCGCAAUCAGUACAGGCCCGGAUAAAGAAUUUGUGGCAUAUUUCAUGGAAUAGAAUGGUCCCCAGGGAUGAAUGUGAAUGAAGGUAGUUCUCCUUGUAUCAACAUGAAUAAGUCCUGAAAGUAUAAAGCUGAGUGAGGAAAAAUAAUAACUAAAAAGAAAAAGGAUACAGGCAAGAUGACGCUGAGGGUGGACGUUUACAACCAACCACAUUCAGUGCUAUUUACAGGCAGGGCUGGGGGGCUGCCAGGUGGGAAGGAAGGUCUCCACUCCACUGCAGGGCACACCCGCCCAGUACCUCUGAAGAGGGGCAGUGGGCCUGGGAGGCGGGCCCGGCACUAUUAGUGAUGUUUUAUUUCUGAAAAAUAUAUCUGUUGUAAAUGUCACAAAUGUCACAAAAUGUUAAUGAUUAAAAAAAUGUUAAUGAUUAUUAACUUGGGA